rnacentral:rRNA from 1 species
CCUACGGUGGGCUGCAGUGAGGAAUAUUGGUCAAUGGGCGCGAGCCUGAACCAGCCAAGUCGCGUGAGGGAAGACGGUCCUAUGGAUUGUACACCUCUUUUGUCGGGGAGCAAAAGACGCCACGCGUGGCGUUCCGAGAGUACCCGAUGAAAAAGCAUCGGCUAACCCCGUGCCAGCAGCCGCGGUAAUACGGAGGAUGCGAGCGUUCUCCGUAUUUAUUGGGUUUAAGGGGUGCGCAGGCGGAAGAUCAAGUCAGCGGUAAAAUUGAGGGGCUCAACCUCUUCGAGCCGUUGAAACUGGUUUUCUUGAGUGAGUGCGAAGAAUGCGGAAUGCGUGGUGUAGCGGUGAAAUGCAUAGAUAUCACGCAGAACUCCGAUUGCGAAGGCAGCAUACCGGCGCUCAACUGACGCUCAUGCACGAAAGUGUGGGUAUCGAACAGGAUUAGAUACCCGGGUAGUC